GAACCGUCCAAACGUUAUUCGGGAAUUACUGGGGCUUAAAGGGUGCGUAGGCGGCUUGGCAAGUUGGGGGGUGUGAAAUCCCUCGGGCUCAACCGAGGGAACUGCGCUCAAAAACUGCCAAGCUAGAGGAAGAUAGAGGUGAGCGGAACUAAUGGUGGAGCGGUGAAAUGCGUUGAUAUCAUUAGGAACACCUGUGGCGAAAGCGGCUCACUGGGUCUUUUCUGACGCUGAGGCACGAAAGCUAGGGUAGCGAACGGGAUUAGAUACCCCGGUAGUCCUAGCUGUAAACGAUGAGCACUAGGUUGGAGGCUCCUCCAUAGGCUUCCGACCGAAGCGAAAGUGUUAAGUGCUCCGCCUGGGGAGUAUGGUCGCAAAGGCUG
rnacentral:rRNA from 1 species